GUCUCUGUUGGUUGUUGGGGUCAAACCUUUCUCAGACGAUGGACAGACUACCAAAAGAAAGAGAGACAUGGGCCAAUCGUGCAGAGUUCAUCCUUUCUUCAGUAGGCUAUGCAGUCGGAAUUGGAAAUGUGUGGCGCUUUCCAUACGUCUGCUUCAGCGAUGGCGGAGGUGCAUUCCUCAUUCCCUAUCUCACCAUGAUGUGUCUGUGUGCCAUCCCGCUGGUGUUCAUGGAGUUUACAGUGGGGCAGUACACAAAAAGAGGACCUGUUGAGGCAUUCAUCGACAUCUGUCCUCUUAUGAAAGGUGUGGGUGUGGCUAUGGUGAUGCUGUCCUUCAUCGUGGCCUCCUACAACAACACAGUCCUGACCUGGGUUCUGUACUACCUCUUCCACUCCUUCACAGCCCCGUUGCCAUGGCAGCUCUGUAAUGCCACCUGGAACAUUCCAGAGAACUGUUCCAGCUUCAUGGAAAACACCACCACACACCUGCAGUCCGCCACUAAACAAUUCUUUGACCAUAGGCUCCUGGAAAUCACUGAGGGGAUUGAGACUGUGGGCCACCUGCGAUGGGAGCUGGUUGGAAUUCUCCUGCUGAUCUGGGCCAUCCUAUUCUUCUCUGUCUUCAAGGGGAUCAGAACCACUGGCAAAGUGGUGUACUUCACAGCACUGUUUCCAUAUGUGGUCCUUCUGGCUCUUCUGUUCAACAAUAUCCGACUACCAGGAGCCCUGGAUGGCAUCCUGUUCUUCCUGACACCCAAAUGGAACAAACUGGGAGAGAUACACGUAUGGAUUGAUGCUACUGCUCAGAUCUUCUACUCAAUAGGCAUUGGAUUUGGCUGCUUACUGUCUAUGGCCAGCCACAACAAGGUCAACAAUAACAUCCUCAGGGAUGCAAUGAUUGUCACUUUGGCGAACUCUGCCACCAGUAUUUUUGCUGGCUUCGUCAUGUUCUCUGGCAUCGGCUACAUGGCACAUGUGCGCCACCUCCAAGUGGAGCAACUGGCUGUUGAAGGACCUGGUUUGGCAUUUGUGGUUUACCCAGAGAUCUUCAGCACCAUGCCUGUCUCUCAGCUCUGGGCCUUCCUCUUCUUCCUUAUGCUGAUGUGUCUCGGCCUGGAUAGUCAGUUUGCCCUUGUGGAGGUCAUGGGGACUUUCGUUAUGGACAGCUUUGGCCCAAAGAUUCUCCUCAUGCUGAAAUAUAAAGAGCUGGUGACCCUAUUACUCUGCUUCUUGACCUUCCUGUUUGGCCUUCCCUGCAUUACUCAGGGCGGGGUCUACAUCUUCCAGCUGUUAGACUAUUCUGUUGGCAUAACACUGAUGUUCACUUCUUUAUUUGAAGUCGUUACUCUAAGCUGGAUAUUUGAUUUUUCUCUCCAAAACAAGGCCUCUCGCUUCCAAAGAAGAUUUGUGAAGUAUUUUCUGAACAUGUCCCCAAUGGAGACGUCAUGUGACCUUUCUUUUCAAAGAUUGAUUUCAUAUACAACAAGUAAUGACCUUUGCAGAUAUCAUUCUGAUCAUUGCUUAAAUGCUUUACACUUCCUGCUGAUUUGUAGGAGUAGGGCGGCUCUCCAUCAUGGUGAAAAGGAUUCUGGGAAAGCCUCCAAACAUCUUCUUUAAGGCCUGCUGGUUGGUGGUCUCUCCGCUGUUGAUCGUGGCCAUAUUGGUCACUGCCAUGGUCCAGCACAAACCACUUCUUUACGAGAAGACAUAUCUCUACCCAGCAUGGGCUGAAGGUGUUGCAUGGAUCAUCAUCUUUCUGUCCGUUGGCUGGAUCCCUCUUGGAGCCAUGCAUGAGCUUUUUGGAAGGAAAGGCACUUGUUUAGCGAGGCUGAAGGCAUCGGUGACUCCCAGGAUCACCCUGGAGGAGGUCUAUAAUGUGCCUGUCAAUGAAGACCAACACCAGGACCAUGUUAAGUCUCUGUACAGCCUCUCUGAGGUCAGUCCUCUACGUGAAGAGAAAGACCGUGGGGACAUGUAGGCUCCUGUGUGACCCAUCUGCUAGAGCACGGGGUUUGCAAUGACAUGGUCAUGGCUACGAUUCCAGCUGGGGCAUUCUAUGUCUAUAUGCUCACAAUGUCCAUUGAAUAUACAUCUGAUAAGCACGAAUACUUAAUAAAGGAAUGUGACACUGUCAAUAUUUUA